GAUGAACGCUAGCGGCAGGCCUAAUACAUGCAAGCUGAACGGCAAGAUUGGUAGCAAUACUGAUCCUAGAGUAGCGUAAGGGUGCGUAACACGUAUGCAAUCUACCCGCAACAGGAGGAUAGCUCUCCGAAAGGGGAAGUUAAGACUCCAUAAUAUCAUUUGUAGGGCAUCUGAAGAUGAUUAAACUACAAGGGGUUGUGGAUGAGCAUGCGUCUGAUUAG
rnacentral:rRNA from 1 species